GCCCAGCAAAAUGUACCAGACUGGUUAUCUGAAGAAGCUAAUCAAGCUGGUGGCGCACCAGUGUAUGGUGGUAGAGGAAACUUUGGCGCUAGAGAUGUUCGCAGUCAAGGGCGUGGCAGAAAGAUAGAUUCCAAUGAUGCUUUUGAUAAUGUUAGUGAACCGGUAUCCAGUUCAUUCCAAGACCCUGUAGCUGAUGAUGAAGAAUGGGGUUAAAAGAUAACAGCUGUGAUUUGUCGUUGAUGUUUAAAAAGUACAAUGUGUAAAUGUACAUUAAUGUUACUGUGUUCAAAGAAUUUUACUGUUCGAAGAAUUUAUGAACAAUUGUCUUGAAUGUAAAAUAUGUAUAGAAAAAUAUAUUUUCAAGUUUUUGGAAUUUAGGUUGGAAGUUAUUUGAACUGUUUAUAUAUGUGCAUUAUCAGAAACUAAAGAUCAUAUUUAUGAUAAUCCUGAUGCUGAAAACGGUUUUUAUUUUUAAUUUGACAACUUUCGGCCGCAAGUGUAUGUGUAUCUUGUGCCUUAUAAAAUCUUUUUAUUGAAA